AGGCGUCGGGAAAGCGGUCACGCCAGCCUGGUCAGCCCGCGCUCUGGCGCUGCAGUGCUUUCGGUCUCUGCGCCUCCCACUCCGCCGCGCGAGCUUGCCACUGCUCUAUGCUCAGUGGCCGGUGGGUGCGGGGACCGCUGGGUCCCUGCCUUUCGUCUUUUACUGCUUUGGGCCAGGCGGUAUGUUUUGGCUUUUGAGUACGUUCUGACAAUUCAUCAUCUAUCUUGUAACAUUUUGUACUUACUUUGAGGAGCGUUAUUCAUGUCUCUUCAGUAGUCCCUGAGCUUCUGGAGGAUGGGGUUGCAAAAACUGAAAUGGGGUGCAACUCGGGGCUAAACACUCUGAAGAGUUGCUUUAAAAUAAUGGAAAUUCUAGAAUAGUUCAGCUGGAAAGAGCAAAGCCUUGAACGUGCUUGGCAAAAAGAUAUUUGUUGAAAGAAAGAAUCCAUGGACUUCAUCUUGUAGGCAUUUGACAAAAGACUAGUUUGAGCCCCAGAGGAUAGAAGAACUAGGAGGGAAAUCCCCUGGCUUUCAGUCCAGUGCUCCUAAAACUAUGCAGUAAAUUAUCUAUUCCUGACAUCUCAACGUGGAGUUCACGAUCGCAACACUUUCCCUUUUCUAAAAAAAUCAGAUUUAGAUAAAACAAGUAGUAUAACUUUGUCCAGUUCACCUAGAAAAUAUAUGUGUUAGCAUGGAUUGAGGGAUGCUGUUUUAUUUAGGCACACAGGGACAUAAAUGAAAGUGCAACAUUUUCUUCAGUCAGUUUCCAGUUCAGAAUUUGUAAAUUAGAUGCAAUUGGAUUGAAGUUAAACUUGCCUCCCUUUCCUAGGCCCUUCAGAUGAAUAAAGUACCUCUAAGUAAUGGGAAACAACAGGUUCGUCAAACUCAGUGAGUUAGAGAAGUAAACAUGGAGGUAGCUCAGGUCAGGAACUAGGGCUGCAAAAAAUCACAGAAGGCUCCUAUGGAAAACAACCAGACUAAUAGUCCACAAGUUAUUUGUUCUAGAUACAAAACUUAAGAGCAAAUAUCAAAAUCAAUAGUAAAAAAGAUUCCUUUCCACAAGUAUCUGCCAUAUUAUUCUUUUUGGCUUAAUUUUCUUCUUCAAGACUUAAUUAUCCUAAUUCAAUUUUCUCCUAAUGAAGACUGAUAUUAACUUUAGUGUAAUUUCACCUGCAUAAAAAGAAUGUCUGUUUUGGAGAAAGAAGUGAGAUUUGCUCAAAACCUGGAACCCCAUUCCUUCCUAGAGAUAGUGUCUUCUUCCUUGCUGUAGUCACUGCACCUGACUCAUCUAAGAUUCUUUGGGAAGAGACAUGCUACCCAAGGGAAGGUGGGGCAUGUGUCUGGUUUCCACGUUUGUCAGGAGCUGUGAGCAGGAGCUGCCCACUUGUAUUCCUGUUACGAAUGCAGGGGCAGCAAUGGCACACCAUCAAUUCCUUGCGGGAGGUUGCAU
rnacentral:lncRNA from 10 species